CCUACGGGUGGCAGCAGUGGGGGAUAUUGCACAAUGGGCGAAAGCCUGAUGCAGCGACGCCGCGUGAGGGAAGACGGUCUUCGGAUUUUACACCUCUUUCUUUGGGGAAGAAAAUUACGGUACCCAAAGAGUAAGCUCCGGCUAAAUACGUGCCAGCAGCCGCGGUAAUACGUAGGCAGCAGGCGUUGUCCGGAAUUACUGGGUGUAAAGGGAGCGUAGGCGGGAUGGCAAGUAGAAUGUUAAUUCCAUGGCCUAAACCGGUGUCUGCGUUCUAAACUGGCGUUCUUGAGUGAAGUAGAGGCAGGCGGAAUUCCUAGUGUAGCGGUGAAAUGCGUAGAUAUUAGGAGGAACACCAGUGGCGAAGGCGGCCUGCUGGGCUUUAACUGACGCUGAGGCUCGAAAGCGUGGGGAGCAAACAGGAUUAGAUACCCCUGUAGUC
rnacentral:rRNA from 1 species